rnacentral:rRNA from 1 species
UACGUAGGGUGCAAGCGUUAAUCGGAAUUACUGGGCGUAAAGCGCGCGCAGGCGGCUAUCCAAGUCAGUGGUGAAAGCCCGGAGCUCAACUCCGGAACUGCCAUUGAAACUGUUUAGCUUGAGGACGAGAGAGGUGAGUGGAAUUCCCAGUGUAGAGGUGAAAUUCGUAGAUAUUGGGAAGAACACCGGUGGCGAAGGCGGCUCACUGGCUCGGUAUCUGACGCUCAGGCGCGACAGCGUGGGGAUCAAACAGG